rnacentral:rRNA from 1 species
AUUGAACGCUGGCGGCAUGCUUUACACAUGCAAGUCGAACGGCAGCACAGGGGCAACCCUGGCGGCGAGUGGCGAACGGGUGAGUAAUAUAUCGGAACAUGUCCGGAAGUGGGGGAUAACGUACCGAAAGGUACGCUAAUACCGCAUAUGCCCUGAGGGGGAAAGCGGGGGAUCGCAAGACCUCGCGCUUUCGGAGUGGCCGAUAUCGGAUUAGCUAGUAGGUGAGGUAAAGGCUCACCUAGGCGACGAUCCGUAGCUGGUCUGAGAGGACGACCAGCCACACUGGGACUGAGACACGGCCCAGACUCCUACGGGAGGCAGCAGUGGGGAAUUUUGGACAAUGGGCGCAAGCCUGAUCCAGCCAUGCCGCGUGAGUGAAGAAGGCCUUCGGGUUGUAAAGCUCUUUCGGAUAGAAAGAAAUCGCACAGGUUAAUACCUUGUGUGGAUGACGGUACUGUAAGAAGAAGCACCGGCUAACUACGUGCCAGCCGCCGCGGUAAGAC